rnacentral:rRNA from 1 species
ACGGCUACCUUGUUACGACUUAGCCCCAGUCACCGAUUUCGCUCUAGGGCGCGCCUCGCGGCGACGCACUUCAAGCGCCCUCGGCUCCCAUGGCUUGACGGGCGGUGUGUACAAGGCCCGGGAACGUAUUCACCGCGCCAUGGCUGAUGCGCGAUUACUAGCGAAUCCAGCUUCACGGAGUCGGGUUGCAGACUCCGAUCCGAACUGAGAGUGGAUUUCGGGUUCCGCUCGGCGUCGCCGCCUGGCUUCCCGCUGUACCACCCAUUGUAACACGUGUGUCGCCCCGGACGUAAGGGCCGUGCUGAUUUGACGUCAUCCCCGCCUUCCUCGCGGCUUGCGCCGGCAGUCCGUGCAGAGUCCUCAGCGUUAUCUGUUAGCAACUGCACGCGGGGGUUGCGCUCGUUAUGGCACUUAAGCCGACACCUCACGGCACGAGCUGACGACAACCAUGCAGCACCUCGGGGAGUGUCCCGUGGGAAACAGGCGUCUCUGCCUGCGGCACUCCCCGUUUGAGCCCGGGUAAGGUUCCUCGCGUAUCAUCGAAUUAACCACAUGUUCCUCCGCUUGUGCGGGCCCCCGUCAAUUCCUUUGAGUUUCAACGUUGCCG